rnacentral:rRNA from 1 species
AUACCUACGGGGGGCAGCAGUGGGGAAUAUUGCACAAUGGGGGAAACCCUGAUGCAGCGACGCCGCGUGAGUGAGGAAGUAUUUCGGUAUGUAAAGCUCUAUCAGCAGGGAAGAAAAUGACGGUACCUGACUAAGAAGCCCCGGCUAACUACGUGCCAGCAGCCGCGGUAAUACGUAGGGGGCAAGCGUUAUCCGGAUUUACUGGGUGUAAAGGGCGUGUAGGCGGGACUGCAAGUCAGAUGUGAAAAUUAUGGGCUCAACCCAUAACCUGCAUUUGAAAUUGUAGUUCUUGAGUGAUGGAGAGG